AGAGUUUGAUCCUGGCUCAGGAUGAACGCUAGCGACAGGCUUAACACAUGCAAGUCGAGGGGCAGCACAGGUAGCAAUACCGGGUGGCGACCGGCGCACGGGUGAGUAACGCGUAUGCAACUUACCUAUCAGAGGGGGAUAACCCGGCGAAAGUCGGACUAAUACCGCAUGAAGCAGGGGCCCCGCAUGGGGAUAUUUGCUAAAGAUUCAUCGCUGAUAGAUAGGCAUGCGUUCCAUUAGGCAGUUGGCGGGGUAACGGCCCACCAAACCGACGAUGGAUAGGGGUUCUGAGAGGAAGGUCCCCCACAUUGGUACUGAGACACGGACCAAACUCCUACGGGAGGCAGCAGUGAGGAAUAUUGGUCAAUGGGCGUAAGCCUGAACCAGCCAAGUCGCGUGAGGGAUGAAGGUUCUAUGGAUCGUAAACCUCUUUUAUAAGGGAAUAAAGUGCGGGACGUGUCCUGUUUUGUAUGUACCUUAUGAAUAAGGAUCGGCUAACUCCGUGCCAGCAGCCGCGGUAAUACGGAGGAUCCGAGCGUUAUCCGGAUUUAUUGGGUUUAAAGGGUGCGUAGGCGGCCUUUUAAGUCAGCGGUGAAAGUCUGUGGCUCAACCAUAGAAUUGCCGUUGAAACUGGGGGGCUUGAGUAUGUUUGAGGCAGGCGGAAUGCGUGGUGUAGCGGUGAAAUGCUUAGAUAUCACGCAGAACCCCGAUUGCGAAGGCAGCCUGCCAAGCCAUGACUGACGCUGAUGCACGAAAGCGUGGGGAUCAAACAGGAUUAGAUACCCUGGUAGUCCACGCAGUAAACGAUGAUCACUAGCUGUUUGCGAUACACUGUAAGCGGCACAGCGAAAGCGUUAAGUGAUCCACCUGGGGAGUACGCCGGCAACGGUGAAACUCAAAGGAAUUGACGGGGGCCCG
rnacentral:rRNA from 1 species